rnacentral:antisense_RNA from 1 species
CUUCACCGACCCCAGCCACAGCGGCCGGUCCGCCGGACGGUUCCGGCCGUAGGUGGCCAGCAGGGCCUGUGCCUC